rnacentral:rRNA from 1 species
UACCAGCACCCCGAGUGGUUGGGACGAUUAUUGGGCCUAAAGCAUCCGUAGCCGGUCCUACAAGUCUUCCGUUAAAUCCACCUGCUUAACAGAUGGGCUGCGGAAGAUACUAUAGGGCUAGGAGGCGGGAGAGGCAAGCGGUACUCAGUGGGUAGGGGUAAAAUCCUCUGAUCCAUUGAAGACCACCAGUGGCGAAGGCGGCUUGCCAGAACGCGCUCGACGGUGAGGGAUGAAAGCUGGGGGAGCAAACCGGG